GUGGGCCUACGGGAGCCAGCAGUGAGGAAUAUUGGUCAAUGGGCGAGAGUCUGAACCAGCCAAGUCGCGUGAGGGAAGACGGUCCUAUGGAUUGUAAACCUCUUUUGCCGGGGAGCAAAAAGCGGUACGUGUACCGCAUCGAGAGUACCCGGAGAAAAAGCAUCGGAUAACUCCGUGCCAGCAGCCGCGGUAAUACGGAGGAUGCGAGCGUUAUCCGGAUUUAUUGGGUUUAAAGGGUGCGCAGGCGGCGAGUUAAGUCAGCGGUAAAAUUUCGGGCUCCACCCC
rnacentral:rRNA from 1 species